rnacentral:misc_RNA from 1 species
GAUAAGAACGCAGCGAAAUGCGAUAAGUAAUGUGAAUUGCAGAAUUCAGUGAAUCAUCGAAUCUUUGAACGCACAUUGCGCCCGCCAGUAUUCUGGCGGGCAUGCCUGUUCGAGCGUCAUUUCAACCAUCAAGCCCCAGGCUUGUGUUGGGGACCUGCGGCUGCCGCAGGCCCUGAAAACCAGUGGCGGGCUCGCUGUCACACCGGGCGUAGUAGAUUUUAUCUCGCUCAGGGCGUGCUGCGGGUUCCGGCCGUUAAAAAGCCUUUUUUACCCAAGGUUGACCUCGGAUCAGGUAGGAAGACCCGCUGAACUUAAGCAUAUCAAUAAGCGGAGGA